AGAACAAUCUGCUAUACCUGCAAUGAUGAUUAAGCAUGGAUAUCCCUUGACUAUGGUUCAACUUGAGUUUUUUGUGAAGAAUUUUCAGCCAGUGUUUAAACUUUAUUCAAAAGACGUCGUUGAAGCUGAUGUCCUUGCUAUUUGCAGACAAGAGAAGGAGAAACUCAUCAAUUUUUUUGAUAAGCUCUCUUGUCUCUUGAGUUUAACACUUGAAUUGUGGUCAUCUACUGACAAAAUGAAGACCUACUGCUGCUUCACCGUGCACUUCUGUCACGACCCGAAUCCCGGGUCCAUGACCGGCAACGCAGGAGCGGUGGCGGAAGGACACCCCUCCCGCGCUAAGCCUCAUAACGGACAUAUCAAAAGAAUAAUUUAUUCAAAAAUACGCAGCAUUUCAUAAUCUUCAGAAAUAUUAUAUCCUUCAAAACUGAUGAAACCAGAAGAUAGUUUAAAACUCCUCAUCAGUAAUUAAAACAAAAACAAUAAUCCAUAAUACUCAUUACAUUGUCAAAAAUCCAAACUUAAUCAAAACAAAGUAAUAGUGGAGCGCCUAAGACAUCGAAUCAAACAGCCUUGAAAGAUAAGCAAGGCAUACCGACUCAAAACUGAAGAAGCAGGAACACUCAACAAGGUUCACCUGCUAUCAGAAACUAAGAACCUGAAAUAAUAUUAAGAAUGAGGGGUGAGUUCAACCAACUCAGUGAGGGAAUAAUAAUUAAUAUACAUUUUAGAUAUUCUUGAUAUUUAUAGUUCGCAAGAUCAUUUAUCUUGAUAUACAUAUACAUAUACAUACUAAACUUAUCAUAUACAUAUCAUAUACAUACUAAACGUAUCAUCAUAACGUAGUGGACUAUAUGUCAGAGAUCAGAUGACACCCGAAGGUGACCAGACCAGAUGACACCCGAAGGUGACCACUGUGGGAUGAUCAGUCGCCACAGGCUGAUGCCUCUCUCACCAGCUAGGUAUACAUACAGAAUACUAUGUGCACAUAGGCUAACUACUCUCCGUUAGCAUGGAGUUACUGACAAGUCCCAUAUCAAGGCAUAAUAGAUAUUCACAUAAUCAUCAAAGAAACGUAUAUCAUAUCAAAUAGAAUUUACUUUGACAGAUUGCGAGUGCAAAUUCAAGAAUAAAUGAGUACUCGGAAAAUAAGCAACAUAUAUAAUUAUUCAAGAAAUUAACGAGUUGUACUCAUUGUAUAAUCAACAUACAUAUUUACUUAUCAUAUAUGCAUAUUAAAGAUUAUUCCACUCACCCGGAAAAUAUAGAACUAAAGGAAUGUCAGACGAAAGACCCGAAAAUCCUAUUGAGGAUUGUUAGGAGAACCUACAACAAUAUGAAAAUAUACUCAAAAGCAACUCAACAAGAGAUCCCAAUGCAUAAAAUAAAACCAGGUUUAUUCUCCUAAGUUUAUGGACUAAAACGACAAUUUUCCAAAACAGGGACCAAAACGUAAUUUUACCAAAAUUGGACCAAUCUGGAAAAUACAUAACCAUACUGAAUUUUCACCCAUAAACCAUCCUUAAUUCUGUCUAGAACGAACCAGGGACCGAUCUGAAAUUUUCAUAAAAUUCAGGGACUAAAAUGUAAAUUCCCGAAAUUGAGGGACCAAACUGAAAAUAUUCAAAAUCAAUUAUCAAACUGCGAUUCAUCAUCCUUAACCUCAUAAUAACACUGUCCAGAAUCUCAAAUACAAUUAGGGGUCAAAUUAUAAUUUUCCCAAAGUUUAGGGACUAAACUGAAAUUUCACAAAUUGAGGGACCAAAUUGAAUUUUCGUUAUCUUCAACCUCAAACCCAGAAUUUUACAGAUUACCUACUGUCAUCUCCUGAUUUCUAACACAAUUUCAAAAAUCAUAACUCAAAAUCAUCAUCUUUACCCUCAAUCUCUCACAAUCAACUAAUUAACCAAUUACCCACAACAAUCAACCCAUAACCUUCCAAUUAAUUCAUCAAUCAAACUCAAAACACAAUAUUCAAAACCCUAACAUUUAUCAAAACAGAAAUUAAGGCUUAAAGAACACACAUUUAUACAUAAUCUUACCUUUAAACUUAUUUCCUCCAACUCCUUUCCUUUUUCCCUUAUUUUCCCCUCUUUUCUCUUCUUCUUCUUUCUCCCUUCUCUCUCACGGUUUGCUCUCUCAAAUAUUCAGAUAUCUUUUUUUUUUUUUUCUCUUUAUACUUAUCAUCUCUUUAUACAAUUACUCCAAUACCCUUCAUUUAAUUAUACCAAUUUUUAGCCUUCAAGGGCUUUAUUGCCUUUUACCUACUCAUUAAAUUUCAAAACAUCACAAUCUCCCCACCUUAUAAAAGUUUCGUCCUCGAAACUUAAACUUUAAGAAAAAGUCUUACCAUCAAGUUCAAACAAGAAUGGAUACUUGUUGAGCAUUUCCUCCUCAAGCUCCCAGGUCGCUUCUUCACGUGGGUGUCCGCUCCACACAACCUUAACUGAUGUGAUAUCUUUCGACCGAAGUUUUCUAACUUGUCGAUCCACUAUUUUUAUUGGUUGAACUUCAUAUGUCAUAUCUUUCCUCAGCUCAAUCGGUUGAACUUCUAGCACAUGAGAUGGAUCAGACAAAUACUUCCUCAACAUCGAAACAUGGAACACCGGAUGUAUAGAGGAGAGAUUAGGUGGCAAGGCAAGCCGAUAUGCCACUACCCCUACUCUUUCCAAGAUCUCAAAGGGCCCUAUAAACUUAGGACUCAACUUUCCUUUCUUCCCAAACCUGAAUAUCCCUUUAGUCGGGGAGACUUUUAGGAACACGUUGUCACCCACUGAAAAUUCUAGAUUACGCCUUCUCUUAUCUGCAUAAUUCUUUUGCCUACUCUGAGCUGUUAGAAGCUUAUCUCGGAUCACCUUAAUCUUAUCCGAAGUAAUCUGUAUUAACUCGGGACCCAUUAAUCUCCUCUCACCAACCUCAUACCAACAUACAGGUGAUCUACACUUCCGGCCAUACAAGGCCUCAUAUGGGGCCAUAUCAAUGCUCGCUUGAUAACUAUUAUUAUAUGCAAACUCCACCAAAGAUAAGUACUUGCUCCAUCCGACACCAAAGUCAAUCACACAAGCUCUUAACAUAUCCUCCAAAAUUUGUAUAGUCCUCUCAGAUUGUCCAUCUGUCUGAGGAUGAAAGGCAAUACUUAACUGAAUGUUAGUCCCCAAAGCUUCCUGAAACUUCACCCAAAACCGAGAAGUGAAUUGUGGACCUCUGUCGGACACAAUUGAGAUCGGUACACCAUGCAACCUUACGAUCUCGUUAACAUAGAUUUCUGCCAGUUUUGCAAACCCAUAUGUCACCUUUACUGGCAAGAAAUGAGCUGACUUGGUUAAACGAUCAACUAUUACCCAAACCAAAUCAUAACCCUCUUGACUCCGAGGCAAACCUGACACAAAAUCCAUAGUGAUCCUCUCCCAUUUCCAUUCAGGAAUUAACAAUGGCUGCAAAAGCCCUGGUGGUUUCUGAUGCUCACCUUUAACCUUCUGACAGGUCAAGCAUCGAGAUACAAAUUCAGCAAUGUCCCUCUUCAUACCAUUCCACCAAUAACACUCUUUCAAGUCUCUAUACAUCUUGUUAGAACCAGGAUGUAUAGUAUAGGCAGUUUGAUGUGCUUCCGUCAUCACAUCUCUUUUCAAAUCAUCCACCUCAGACACACAUAACCUGGAACCAAAUCUCAACACACCAUCUUCAUGGAUAACAAAACCCGGAGCUCUCCCUAACUCCAACUCAUCUCGAAUCUUGCAAAGUCGCUCAUCCUUCAUUUGAGCUCCUUUAAUCCGGUCUACCAAGUCUGACUUAGCCUGGAAGUGAGCCAACAAUGCUCCCGAUUCACAAAUCUCAAAACUGACCCUCUCAUCCAACAAUCCGUGUAACUCUUUAAUCAAGGGUCUCCUCACCUCCUGAAUAUGAGCCAAACUACCCAUAGAUUUUCUGCUUAAGGCAUCGGCAACAACAUUUGCCUUGCCCGGGUGAUACUGAAUCGUGCAAUCAUAAUCACUUAAUAGUUCCAUCCACAUUCUUUGUCUCAAAUUCAGAUCCUUCUGCUGGAAGAUAUAUUGAAGACUCUUAUGAUCUGAAAAUAUCUCACAUGUCUCCCCAUACAAGUAGUGUCUCCAAAUCUUAAGGGCAAACACUACCGCAGCCAUCUCCAAAUCAUGUGUGGGGUAAUUUUGCUCGUGCUUCUUCAACUUUCUCGAGGCAUAAGCAAUCACAUUACCAUUCUGCAUCAAAACACAACCCAAACCAAUCCUGGAUGCAUCACAGUACACGGUAAAACCACCAGACCCUGAAGGUACUGUCAAAAUUGGAGCCGUAAUUAACCUUUCCUUCAACUCCAGGAAACUCUUCUCACAUUCUUCUGACCAUUGAAACUUGACACUUUUCUGUGUCAACUUCGUCAAUGGAGCAGCGAUUCGGGAAAAAUUCUCCAUGAAUCUCCUGUAGUAUCUUGCUAAACCCAGGAAACUCCUAAUCUCAGAUACUGUAACUGGUCUAGGCCACUGCUUAACUGCCUCCACUUUCUGUGGAUCAACCUCUAUCCCAUUUUUGGACACCACAUGUCCCAAAAACCCAACACUCUCUAACCAAAACUCACUCUUCGAGAACUUUCCAUACAACUGAUGAUCUCUUAGAGUUUGAAGCACCAAUCUCAAAUGCUCUUCAUGUUCCUCUUUACUUCUCGAAUACACCAAGAUGUCAUCAAUGAACACAAUAACAAACUUAUCAAUAAACGGCCUAAAAACCAUGUUCAUCAUGUCCAUAAAAGCUGCAGGUGCAUUCGUUAACCCAAAAGACAACACUAGGAACUUGUAAUGCCCAUAACGAGUCCUAAAGGCAGUUUUAGGAAUAUCCUCAUUUCUAAUCCUCAACUGGUGAUACCCCGAUCGCAAAUCAAUCUUUGAGAAACAUUGAGCUCCUUGUAAUUGAUCAAAAAGAUCAUCAAUGCGAGGAAGUGGGUAUCUAUUCUUAACAGUGACCUUGUUCAACUGUCUAUAGUCUAUACACAUCCUCAUUGAUCCAUCCUUCUUCUUUACAAAUAAAACAGGUGCUCCCCACGGAGACACACUUGGACGAAUAAACCCCUUAUCUAACAAAUCUUGAAUCUGCUCCUUCAACUCUUUUAAUUCUGCUGGCGCCAUCCUGUACGGUGCCAUAGAGAUUGGUUUUGUUCCUGAAACUAGAUCAAUACAGAAUUCGAUUUCCCUAUUGGGAGGUAGUCCAGGUAAGUCAUCGGGAAAAACAUCGAUGAAUUCCUUAACUAUCGAAACUUGUUCCAUCCUCGGGACCUCCAUGUUCAUAUCAUGCACAUAAGCCAAAAACCCUUGCAUACCUUUUCGUACCAUCCUUCUCGUGAUGGCCGAGAGAAUACUAGAUGGAGAUGAUAACCCAUCUCCAUGAAAAGCAAACUCCGUCUUCUCAUCAGGCUUGAAAAUCACUGUCUUAUUCCAACAAUCAACUGAGGCAUGGUGCCUUGAUAACCAAUCCAUACCUAGUAUCACAUCAAAACCUACUAUGUCUAAAAUUACCAAAUCGCCUAAUAGGUUUCUACCUUGCACUUGAAUCUCACAAUCAACAUAAACAUAUUCCCCAAACAUAACCUCAUCCGAAGGGAUAGCUACACACAAAGGACUCUCUAACAAAAUGGAUUGUUUAGUAAACCUUAAAGCAAAAUAUGACGACACGAAAGAAUGAGUUGCCCCCGUGUCAAAUAACACUCUAGCCUCGAAGGAACAUAACAUAACUAUAAAGGAGUUUUAAGGAGGACACACCAAACCCUAGAUUGGAGAAUUGUAAGAGGAACGACAUCAAGACAAGAUAGAUCCUAAGCUCCACAUAUUACGAGGGUUUUGAAAAAUAAAAAAAAUGACUAAAAUAGAUUACGAGGUUUUAAUAAAAACCGGGCUCUGAUACCACCUUUGUCACGACCCGAAUCCCGGGUCCAUGACCGGCAACGCAGGAGCGGUGGCGGAAGGACACCCCUCCCGCGCUAAGCCUCAUAACGGACAUAUCAAAAGAAUAAUUUAUUCAAAAAUACGCAGCAUUUCAUAAUCUUCAGAAAUAUUAUAUCCUUCAAAACUGAUGAAACCAGAAGAUAGUUUAAAACUCCUCAUCAGUAAUUAAAACAAAAACAAUAAUCCAUAAUACUCAUUACAUUGUCAAAAAUCCAAACUUAAUCAAAACAAAGUAAUAGUGGAGCGCCUAAGACAUCGAAUCAAACAGCCUUGAAAGAUAAGCAAGGCAUACCGACUCAAAACUGAAGAAGCAGGAACACUCAACAAGGUUCACCUGCUAUCAGAAACUAAGAACCUGAAAUAAUAUUAAGAAUGAGGGGUGAGUUCAACCAACUCAGUGAGGGAAUAAUAAUUAAUAUACAUUUUAGAUAUUCUUGAUAUUUAUAGUUCGCAAGAUCAUUUAUCUUGAUAUACAUAUACAUAUACAUACUAAACUUAUCAUAUACAUAUCAUAUACAUACUAAACGUAUCAUCAUAACGUAGUGGACUAUAUGUCAGAGAUCAGAUGACACCCGAAGGUGACCAGACCAGAUGACACCCGAAGGUGACCACUGUGGGAUGAUCAGUCGCCACAGGCUGAUGCCUCUCUCACCAGCUAGGUAUACAUACAGAAUACUAUGUGCACAUAGGCUAACUACUCUCCGUUAGCAUGGAGUUACUGACAAGUCCCAUAUCAAGGCAUAAUAGAUAUUCACAUAAUCAUCAAAGAAACGUAUAUCAUAUCAAAUAGAAUUUACUUUGACAGAUUGCGAGUGCAAAUUCAAGAAUAAAUGAGUACUCGGAAAAUAAGCAACAUAUAUAAUUAUUCAAGAAAUUAACGAGUUGUACUCAUUGUAUAAUCAACAUACAUAUUUACUUAUCAUAUAUGCAUAUUAAAGAUUAUUCCACUCACCCGGAAAAUAUAGAACUAAAGGAAUGUCAGACGAAAGACCCGAAAAUCCUAUUGAGGAUUGUUAGGAGAACCUACAACAAUAUGAAAAUAUACUCAAAAGCAACUCAACAAGAGAUCCCAAUGCAUAAAAUAAAACCAGGUUUAUUCUCCUAAGUUUAUGGACUAAAACGACAAUUUUCCAAAACAGGGACCAAAACGUAAUUUUACCAAAAUUGGACCAAUCUGGAAAAUACAUAACCAUACUGAAUUUUCACCCAUAAACCAUCCUUAAUUCUGUCUAGAACGAACCAGGGACCGAUCUGAAAUUUUCAUAAAAUUCAGGGACUAAAAUGUAAAUUCCCGAAAUUGAGGGACCAAACUGAAAAUAUUCAAAAUCAAUUAUCAAACUGCGAUUCAUCAUCCUUAACCUCAUAAUAACACUGUCCAGAAUCUCAAAUACAAUUAGGGGUCAAAUUAUAAUUUUCCCAAAGUUUAGGGACUAAACUGAAAUUUCACAAAUUGAGGGACCAAAUUGAAUUUUCGUUAUCUUCAACCUCAAACCCAGAAUUUUACAGAUUACCUACUGUCAUCUCCUGAUUUCUAACACAAUUUCAAAAAUCAUAACUCAAAAUCAUCAUCUUUACCCUCAAUCUCUCACAAUCAACUAAUUAACCAAUUACCCACAACAAUCAACCCAUAACCUUCCAAUUAAUUCAUCAAUCAAACUCAAAACACAAUAUUCAAAACCCUAACAUUUAUCAAAACAGAAAUUAAGGCUUAAAGAACACACAUUUAUACAUAAUCUUACCUUUAAACUUAUUUCCUCCAACUCCUUUCCUUUUUCCCUUAUUUUCCCCUCUUUUCUCUUCUUCUUCUUUCUCCCUUCUCUCUCACGGUUUGCUCUCUCAAAUAUUCAGAUAUCUUUUUUUUUUUUUUUCUCUUUAUACUUAUCAUCUCUUUAUACAAUUACUCCAAUACCCUUCAUUUAAUUAUACCAAUUUUUAGCCUUCAAGGGCUUUAUUGCCUUUUACCUACUCAUUAAAUUUCAAAACAUCACAACUUCAUUGACGAUGGAUGGCAGCUGAAGAAGAAGAUUCUUGCUUUCAGGAACUUACGGUACAACUAUGACAUGGGGACUGUACAUGAAGUCUUUAAAAGUGUGCUUGCAGAGUGGAGCAUCAACAAGAACGUUCGCUUCAUAUUCCUGGAUAUAACUCCUCCAAACGAUCACAUGAUUGGAGAAUUAAGAAGUAAGGUUUCUGAUCAAGCCCCACCUAUCCAUGGACAUCUUUUCUGUGUUCCUAGUUAUGCCCACAUUCUCAGUCUCCUUGUUCAAGAUGGAUUUUCUGAGAUAAGGAGUGUGCUUUAUAAGAUAAGAGAAUGUAUAGAGUACGUCAAAGGAAGCUCACUUGUAAGGCAGAGGUUCCAGGAGGCAAUUAAUAAUGGGAGUUUGCAGGACAGGGAAAUGCCUACUCUAGAUGUUGCCGCGAGAUGGGACACCACCUUUCUUAUGCUGGAGAGUUCAUUGGAAUUUAGAACAGCUUUUAAUCACCUUGAGCAAUUGGAUGAUGAUUUCAAAGUGAAUCCAUCUGCAGAAGAAUGGAACAAAGCAACAGCCGUAUUUGAGUGCUUGAAAGAGUUCUACAAUUCAACAUGCAAUUUUCCAACAAGCAGAGAUGAUUAUUUCCUCAGUGUUCGUGAUGUUUAUAAGAACUUGCAAGGCUGGAAACAGAGCGAUUAUGUAUAUGUUCGCGCUAUGGCAAAUAGAAUGAAGGGAAAAUUUGACGAGUAUUGGGGAGAAGCUAGCUUGGCUUUGGGAAUCUCAGCAGUUCUUGACCCCAGCUUUAAAUUGGACAUUAUUGAGUAUGGCUACCGGCAGAUAUACGGCAGUGAUGCUGACUUGCACUUAUCCAGAUUCCGUUACGAUCUUACAUGUGCAUACCAUAAAUAUGCAAAGGACAUCAGCAAUCAGGGACCAUCUUCUUCUGCCAUGGCUGAAGUGGGUCGUUGUACAUCAUCUGAUAUUAGUUUCAAAGAGUGGCGCAAGGGUAAGUAUGAACGCAACAUGGUGCCCUCACAAUGGAAUGAGCUUGAUCAGUAUCUACAACUGCCCCCGGAGAACUUGGAUAAGGAUGGUAACGUAUUAGCUUGGUGGCAAGACAAUGCUCCAAAUUUUCCAAUACUGGGAAAAAUGGCUCGUGAUUUCUUAGCAAUUCCAGUAUCAACUGUCAUUUCCAAGUCAUCAGAGGUUAUGAAGAUGGCAUCAGUCCAUGACGGUGUUCGUCCUGAGAUAGCCGAGGCUUUGAUAUGUGGAAAGGAUUGGUUGGACAGCCCUAACUGCAAGUUUUCCUUUUUCUUUUUGAUCUAUUUAAGUGUGAUGCGUUUAUAUCUCUGCUAUCUGUUUAUUUAUUUCUUCUUCUUCUUUUCUUCAGCAAUUGAUCCAUGUUUGGAUCCUCACUGGUAGUUGCUAGUACUGUGAAAUAAGUUUUUCCCAGGUAAACACUGGCCUUCUCUUUUAUUUCCAAGAACAAGAUUUUGUCUGCAGAGUGAAAAAUCAAAAUGCGCAUAUAAUCUGCAGUCUGCAUGAACAUUAAAACUAGGCUGGAAAGUAAUUCUCAAAUGAAAACAAAUAACAAGUUACAUUAUUUUUCUGUGCCGCAGGGUCAACCAGGCUGAGCAAAUCUGACUUGGAUGCUGUAGAAGAAUAGUACUGGACACAAGAACCUGAAGUGACGAAGACUUAUUUUUUGCUUAAUUUUAUCAUGAAUUUGAAAAUAAAAAAAAUCUUGAUGUAAAAAAUGAUUUGAAACUACUUUUUUAAUGCGUUUUAAAAAUAUAUCUGUAUCUCCUCGAAAAAACAUGAAAUUAAUGUUUUCUAGUGUUAUUUGAUGGUUUUAAUAUUCCAUGUCAAAAAUAAAAAAUAUAUAUAUAAAAAAAUUAUUUUUAACAUUAAUCCAUUAAAUACAAUCUAAUUAAUUUAGUUUUAUAAAUAUGACCAUGACCUAGACAGUUGCCUGCGUACUUUAGUAAACAAUUCAGGUAAUUUUGGCCCAUUGAAAAGCCCAUUUAAAAAACAUUAUAUGACUAUGCUUAAAAAACACUAGGCCUCGAUCAACUAUCACUUAAAACAAGCUAUCAAGCCUGGAUCAAACUUUAAAAUAAAGUAUUUUGUAUUUUAAGGUGUUGAUUAAAAUUUCUCAUUCCUUGCAAAUAUUUAUUUGCAUUCACCAAAAUAAUUAAUAUGUGAGAAACAAAUUUAGGUAGCAUCAUGCAUGAAUUCCCUUCAUUUCACACCAGCAAAAUUAUGUUUGCAUUAUUUCAGCUAUGAUUAUGUUAAUCAUAUUUACAUUAAUCUUUUUAAUUUUCUUUGUACCUAUUUUUUUUAAAAGAAAAAAUCACAGUUUCCAUAAAAAUAAUAAUUAUAACGAUUGUUUGAAUUAAAUGAAUAACAAAUUAUAUUAUUGUAAAUUAAUCUUUCAGCCCUUACUAAAUAAAAUAAAACUAUUCACAUUAAAUGUCUUAUGAUAGUCACUAAUUUAUUUUAAAGAUUCAUUAAUUAGAACAUAUAUUUGAAUAUAAAUAACAUUAUUCAAAACUAACAACGUAAAUAAGAUUUAUAAUUUGAAUAAUAGAAGAAGAAAGAUGCAGAAAUUAAAAGGUUAAAUUAUUCAAAAUCAUUUUAAAUUCUUGGUCAAUACUUUACCAAAUCCAAACCAUGUCCGGUCAUGUUCCUUCCAAAUCCCUAAACUCUGUUAGUCAAUAGUUUACCAGAACUGUAUAUGGACAUCUGUAUUCGGAAGAAUUAAUGGAAGUAGGGAUAUUAACGAGGUGCAUGCCUAGGAGGGCGCUGAAGGAGAGGCCUCGAAUCAUAGAUUGGGCAAUGAAUUCCAUCCAGCUCUAAUGGCUAUGCUCUUAGUACUGCUUACAAGCUUCCACAGCUUAGCAGUGAAGUCGAAUAAAAAUCACUAAUAUACAUAAACUGAGGUCAUUAUACUUUUCCUUUGUUUUCUAGAUGACUCGGUUGCCACUGAGAAUUGGGUAUAAAAAUGACUCUCAAAUGCUAUUUCCAGAGAUUUCUUAUGUGUCUCGAGGCUAUCUUAAAUCUGCAAAUCACCCUGUUGUUUUGUAACUAUUAUUACAACACUUUGUGGAUCAACUCGAGUCUUGUCACAAGUCGUGUUUUAAAUAAGUAAUUGAUACACUUAUAAUCUAUUUUUUAAUCUUUCUAUUUUAAUUUUUAUUCUUUUUUUUAUUUUUAUUUUUACUAUAUUUCCUGAGAAAUAAUAAUAAAAAAUGAUGAAAAAUUGAAAAUAAAAAUGAUGAUAAAAAACAAAUAAAUAAAUGAAAUAAAUGAAGAAUGAAUUAAAAUUUGGGUAAAGGCAACAAGUUUGAGGAUUUAAUUAAACUUUGGAUUAGUUUAAUUAACUAAAUCAAGAGCUUAAUUGAAGAAUUGAUAAGUUUUGGGAUUUAAUUGAGUUUAAAAUUAGUUUAAUUAGUGAGAUUAGAGGCUUAAUUGAAAAAAUAACAAAGUUUUGGGUUGAUUUGGAUCAAAAUUGAAUUAAAGAUUUUUUAAGUUAAUAAUAUAAAUCUUUAAUGAUAAUUUUUAAUUUGAAUAAAAUAAAAUAAAUAUUCUAUAAUUAGAUUAUCACAAAUAUAAGAUAAUAAGAUAAUAAUUAUAAAUUGUGAUUUUUCGUUUUUUUUUUUUUAAUAAAAACUACAUGUAUUCUUGAUUUUUUUUUUUUGAAAAAUACAUUUUGUUGACAAAAAUGAGCAUCUUUAUUAAUUUUUCAUUGAAAAAAGAAAACUAAAAAAAAGUUGUUUUUUAUUUCUAAACACACCUUAAUCCUUUCAUAUUGCUAUUAUAGCUGUUAAAUCUAAUUUGACUUGGUACAUUGACCAGGAUACAAGAGCUGAUCUAGAUUGAUUUUUAGUUAAACUAAUUAACAAGACAUUAGCAUGUUAAAUUGAUAUGACAUGACUUGUUUUUUUAGUAACUUUAAUUGACUCGGUCACAUCCAAUUCAAAACCAAUUGGGUAAAUAUUUUGUAAAAAAAAAAAAUUAUUUUAAUAAAAAUAGUUGAUACAUAGUUUGUUCUAAUGAUUUUGUCACAGGUGGACAUCAUCGCAAGCUAGCCAGUGAAAAAGAGAUAAAAAAAAAAAACUUGUCACGUAGUUUUAUAAUAACUAAAUAUUUUAACUAUUUUUUUCAUAAUUUCUAGUUAAGGAGGUUGAUUAUUUAAUAAUAAAGAUAAACACCAUUUUAUAUAUUAUAUCUAAAGUAAAUUACGUUGUUGUUUGUUUUUAAUUAAAAGAAAUGUUUAAAGUGACUUUGAAAAUAUUUUUAUGAAAUAAUUUUAAUAUCACUUCUACAACAAUUUUUAAGAAUAAAUUGGAUUAAGAGGUGUAUAACUUCUAUGACAACUUUUAAGAAUAAUUCUCAUUAAGAGGUUAUUUAUCCUAUGUUGAUCAAUAAAUAAUAAAAUAAAAAUAAAAAUAAAAAUUCAGUAUUUGCUGAUAAUAAAAUAUUUUUCUUAAAUAAUUUUAGGCCCCGUUUGUUUGACGGAAAGUGGUUUUCUAGAAAGCACUUUCCAAACAUUUCUGUGUUUGUUUGUCAUUAGAAAAGUUGGUCAAUAGAAAAUAUUUUUCAGUCAAAGAAAAAUUUGGCUUGGUUUUCAGGAAAGUGUUUUCCUUUUAUUUUGAACGGAAAAUACUUUUCAAAAGUUGUGAAAAAAUUAAAAUGUCAUAUUAUUUAUUGAUUAUAUCAAAUUUGGUCCUCAAACUUUUGAUUGCUAUAUAUAUUUUGUUUUGAAUAUUUGUUUUUAAUUUUUAUCCCUUAGAAUUUGUUUUUUAUAUUAACUUUGGUCUUUAUUCUUAUGAUUAUUAUUGGCUUUUCUCUUAUCAUUUUUUAAUUAAAUUUUUUUAUGUAUCAAAUUUGAUUCUCAUUAUUUUGAUUGUUACUUAUUUUAUUUGAAAUAAUUUAUGAAAUUGUAAUUAUUAUUAUUUUAAUUUUAUCAUCUUUUAAUUUUUUUUAUCUGUUAGAUUUGAUCUCUAUUAUUUUGAUUAUUAUUUAUUUUAUCUGAGAUAAUUUAUAAAAUUAUAUUUUUUUUCAAUUUCAUUCUCAUUCAACCUUUUAAUUUAUAAGAUUUGUUUCUCAUUAUUUUAAUAAAUUUGAAAAAAAAGUAUUAAUGACAAUAAAAAAUUCACUUAUUUUCUAUGAUAUAACUAAACACUAGAAAAUAUUUUCCAACUUAUUUUUCAUAAUAUUAUCAAACAUAAAAAAAUAAUUCACUUUCUUGAAAUUCACUUUUCAAAAGAAUUAUUUUUCAAAAAGAAACUAAAUUUUCAAAUAAACAAACAUACUUAAUACCACCUUUUUUUUGUGAAAAUUGUUACAUGAUAUUAUCAAACCCCACAUAGUAUUUGCUGCUGCUGUGAAUGCUGGUGGUGAUGGAGGCAGAACCUGCAGGAUGUUGAUAACAUUUUCUUUAUGCUCCCUAGCUUUUCAUCAAAUCGAUUUUCUCCUUGCAAAGUUCUUGAAUAUUGAUUUUUUUAUCGAUUUAUUUUUCAAAUUUUAUUAAUUUUAAAUAUUAUAAAAUUUAAUAAAAUAUACAAUUUAAAUUAUAAAUUUAAUAGAUUCAUCGAGAUUAAUUCAAUAUAUCUCUAAGAAAAAAACAUUUUAUAAUUUUUUUAUUUCAAAAUUUGUUGGUAUAGUAUAGUGAGAGAAGUAACCUAGUUUAUAUUUAAACAAACCCCUAUCAUUAAAUUCGAUUUCAAGCUGAAAACAACUCUAACCAAACAUCAUAAACAGCUCUAAAAUUAUAUUUUUCCACAGACAAUUUUGACAUGUAACCCCCGACCUCUAAGUAAAUGACAGCAUCAUUUUGCAGCACAAUCCUAUCCAGUCAUGACAGAUGGGCUUAGAAAAUGGAAUUUACAAAGCAGAGGAAAAGGCAAGAAUACCAAUUCUCAAUCAAUGGGUCCAUUGCUUAGGUCCCUCCAUCGUGAUUCUGUAAGAUUUUUCCUUUGAUUUCUAAGAACCACACAAACCAUCUCAACACACGUCGUCCACAUCUUCACUCAUGCCCUUCCAAGAUUGCAAAAGAUCUGAAUGGAAUGGAGGUCCAAUUGAAUGACACUAUCUUUAAAGUGAACUGCAGGUUCCACGAAGGAACGUAUGCUGGAAGCAAACGGGGUUGACUAUAAGAAACGAAGAGUGAAAGAGUCAUUUGCUUCGAUUCCCUUCAUCAAAUCUUGUUUCCUUCGAUGGCCUCUCCCCUGUCUUGCGUGUUGAUGGUGUGUGCUAAGGCGAUUGAAGGUGAUCGCUUGGAUGUUGCAGAUUUUCUUUUGGCAGAAAUUCAAUCUCUAGCUUCUAAAGAGGAGAGCAUAUGGACGAGGAAAAUUGUCAAAUACUUUGCUGAGGCUCUUGUCCGGCGAGCCUAUCGAAUUCGUCCUCCUUGUACUUUUCCCUUGCUACUACCCGGAUACAUGUAUAAACCUUUCUGCGAGUUUGCUAGAAUCACCAGUAAACAUGCCAUUGCCGAUCAUGCCUUGAAUUCGGGAAAUAAAGGACUCCACAUUAUUGACUUCUCCAUCAAGUUCAAUUUUCGGCAGUGGAAAGAUUUAAUUGAAGACCUCAAAAGGCAGUAUGGUGGCCUACAAUCUGUCCUGAUAACCAGUAUCGCACCGAAACUGUCAAAACACUCUUACCAUCUCCGUCAAAACCGGGAAUGGGCUGAGCACAAAAAUUUGGAAUUGAGGCAAUUGAUAUGCAAUAGUCCGGAUGAUAUUGUCAAUUGUAUUUCCAAACUCAGAAGGAAAAGGGAGGAUGAGAUUGUGGUUGUGAAUUGGAAUUUUACACUCCACAAAUUGCUUGCACAAGAUGGGGCAACGGAGCAAGUGCUUUCAAAAGUGAAGGAUUUGGGAGCGGACAUCAUGGUAAUUGUUGAGCAAGAAGCCAAUCUUAACAGCCCUCAUCUUUCGAAGCGGCUCGAACAAUCAUUCCAAUACUACUCCCCUUGUUUUAAGGCACUGGAGGAAGAUUGUGAUAGACAUGUGUUCAUGGAGAUGUAUUUCAGGCGACAGAUUGGGAAUGUGGUGGCAUGUGAGGGCGUUGACCGGGUCGAGCGGAUUGAGUCAUUUGCUCACUGGCAAAAUCGCCUAUCUCAGGCUGGGUUUUGUCCAGUUCCCCAACAGGUAGACAAGUUCGAUGAAGAGUUUGUAAUCGAAGAGAAUGAAGGGCAUAAUAUCUUGCUAAGUCGGCACGGUUGUCCGCUAGCUGUAGCCUCAGUUUGGAAGCUCACUGAUCCACCUCAAUUCAGUGGCGGUGAAUAAUCCAAUUCCAUCUUUUCCUUUCUCUUCUCUUGUUAUACUAAUUUAUCCAUGAAUAAAUUCGUUGUGUGCAUUUUCACUUUAGGCUACUGGAAAACAUGUUGACAGGUCUUUACACAAUGCAAGAUACAGUUGAUGACUCAGAAGGGAUGUCGAGCUCCCCUGAGUCUGAGGAUGAUGAAGAAAAUGAUUCUCUAGUUCGCAUAAUGGCAGAUAGAAACUUAUGGUCCACACAGACACAGGUAUCCUUCUUUGUUUCCGAGAUUUAACAAAUUUCCUAGUUUUAUCUUUAUGCCAUUAUUGGUGUCGUUGAUCUCACAGGGCUCUUCAAUGAAUCGAAUAGCUGCUUCAGCUAAGUUAUUUGACAUAUUGGAAUAUAUAUGUGAUCUACAUAGGUUAGAACUGGGUGUGACAUGGAUUUCCUAUGGCCAAGAUGGUAAUACAAAUUCAAAGGGAAAGCGUAUUCUAUGUAUUGAUGAUAGCGCUUGCUAUGUAAAUAAUUGGGUUAUGGCAAAAUUUGUGGAUGAAUAUGCACGACAUCGUCUCGAGGAAGGACAAGGUAUCGCCGGAAAAGCACUUCAAUCUAAUAUUCAUAUCCAGCAUGACAUUUACUUGCUUGAUCCAUCUGAAUUCCCUGAUUCCUGUUCCUUCAGUAGCUCUUGGAUCAGAAAAUGGUAUGCUGCUUUUGCUAUAAGGCUAACAAGUACCCACCCUUGCAAGGAUGAUUACGUACUGGAAUUUCUUCUCCCUGUAGACAUGACAGACAGAACAGAACUUUUGAUAAAUAAGGUCUUGCGUACAUUGCAGAGGAAAUGUUUAAAGUUGUGGGAAGUUAGUGUCAGAGAAGUAAAUGAGGCGAGUGGCUCUGAAGGUAGAUUGGAUGAUGAAAAAAUGCCAAACAUCCCACGAGAAACACGCGAGCCUCUUGAACAGGUGCUCUUCUAUACUGAAUUCAUGUCAUUAUUUGCUUGAAGACUGAUAUCGAAUUUUUAAAUUUUUUUUUUUUAAGAUUUAAAUUAAUUCUAAUUUUAAUAUUUAUUUUUAUAAUUGUUAUUUAUUUUUUUCUUAUAAUUUUUUUAAUUGAAAUUUUUUAUCUAUUAUAUUUGAUCAUCGUUCUUAUUCUUAUUUAAUUUUUUAAUUUAUAAGAUUAGUUUUUGAUUAUUUUAAUAAAUUUAAAAUAAAAUAAAAUAUUAAUAAGUUUUUUUUUUUUAAUAACAUAACUAAAUAUUAAAAAAUAUUUUUUAAUUUAUUUUUAAUGACACUACUAAAUAUCUAAAAAUAAUUUACUUUUAAGAAUUCAUUUAAAAAAAAAAAUACUUCCAUGUUGUUUGCUAUAAGAAUUCUAGCCCACUCUAAUACAUAAAGAAUUGGAUUUUAGGUUAUUUAGAUCCAGAAACACCAAAUUAACUAAUUUUCUUCUAAAAAUAUUUUAAAAAAACUUUUUAAUGAGUUUAAAAUUAAAAAUCAAACUAAAUAAAAAAAAAUCUACAUGUGAUUCGCUGCAAGAAAUUCUAGCCAGCAGAAUUGGGUUCAAGGUUAUUUAGACCCAGAAAGUCUAAAUCAUCUGCCUUGUCAGAUGGACAGAAAAGACCCUCUGUUUUGGAUGGACACCCAUCAUGUGUCCAAUCACAGCCUUCUAUGUGGCAGAUUUCCUUCCGCAGAUUGCGCAAGGGGUGGAAUAAUUAUUGUUCAGUAGAUAAAUUACAAUUGAUGAUUCGAAUAUAAUAAAAUCCAUUUUGCCUCCGUUUUGCUUUUAUGUUCAACUAUUGAAGAACACACAAUCUGCCAUUAUUAUUGACUGGAAUUGGCCUUCAUGCUGCCAAUAUCCUACUUCCCUAUCUCUUGACAGGACGUCCAAGAACAAUCUGCUAUACCCGCACCUGCUCUGAAUGGUGAGAAUGCAUCGCUUAGUAUAGAUGGUGGCCUCCAGAGUACUAAUAAACGACGAAAGAUAUCAGCUGUGUGGGAAGAAAAUGGGGAAGUAUGGGCCACAUGUAAAUACUGUAAGAAGACGUAUUUGCAGCCAUUGUUUGAACUUCAUUCAAAAGACGAGGUUACAGAUGAUGUCCUUACUAUUUACAGACGAGAGAAGGAGAAACUCAUCAAAUAUUUUGAUAAGCUCUCUUGUCUCUUGAGUUUAUCAAUUGAAUUGUGGUCAUCGAAUGACAAAAUGAUGACCUACUGUUGCUUCACCGUGCACUUCAUUGACGAUGGAUG
rnacentral:lncRNA from 1 species